GUCUACGGCCAUAGCACCCUGAACACACCUGAUCUUGUCUGAUCUCACAAGCUAAGCAGGGAUUGGCCUGGUUAGUACUUAGAUGAGAGACUGCCUGGGAAUACUGGGUGCUGUAGGCU
ensembl:rRNA 5S_rRNA 5S ribosomal RNA